rnacentral:lncRNA from 1 species
GAAAUUACCCCUUAACUCCCAGCCGGGCUUCAGCCAGUUGGUCCCCGAAGAGCUGAAGAGGGGCCCCCGAGCUGGCUGGGGGGAGGUUCCCCAGGGCCACUGCAGUCACUGUAACGCCUUCCUGGAAAAGCUGGACAAAGUGCUUCAAGGUUGGGAAGUGUCUUCAAAACCAGCAGAGAAGCCACAGGCACUGGGGCAGCCCCAGAAAGUCUUGGAGGGACCCAACAGGCAUACCCCAAAGGGGGGCCGAGCUCCCCGGAGUGACCUCAGGGACAUUGAGCGGGUUAAACACCAGCAUCGGCUGGUGACUGAGCAGUUGCAGGAUCUGUUUGGGGAGAGACGGGAAAGGACCAGCAAGGCUGAGCAGCCCCCCAGGGAGUGGCCAGAGGGAAGCCUUGGGGAUCAGGGGACCAAGAAGUCCUCAGUGGAGCAGCUAAACUGAGGUUCCACUGGCAAACCCAGGAGCCCUACGACCUUCCUCAGCUGCAAUGAGUGUUGCAGAAAGGGUUCAGUCUGAUUCAUCCCUGGCCCCAAGACAGACUGGACCUGGAGGGAUCUUACUGGAAUAGUCUGGAGUGGAAUUGGCAGAUAUGGGCCGUGGACUCGGUCAGGAAUCUGCCAGGGUGUUUCAGACCAUUUCAAUUUGCCAGAUCUUCCUCAGAAAUGGUCCAAGGGCCCUUUGCCUUCAGCCCCAGGACUGUCUCCCUUACUAAUCCCUAUGGAAAUAACAAUACCUGUUUGCAUAUCAUCUUAAUAUUUACCAAGCACUUUCUUCACUACAACUUGGUGGGGGAGAUGAUACCCCCAUUUUACAGAUAAGGAAACUGAGGCAGAGGGUAAGUGAAUCACCAAGGGUUACACAGCUAUUAAGUAUCUGAGGCAGGAUUGGAACUCAGAUCGUCUGACCCCAAGUCUGGAGCUCUUUUUCCCGAUUCCGUGCUGCCUUCUAAAAUCUUCUGAUCCCUCAUCCCUGGCUCAAGAAUCAGAGAAAUAAAUUAAGAGCUGGAAGAGAGGGGCCUAUCUCC